rnacentral:rRNA from 1 species
CUGGCGGCACGCCUAACACAUGCAAGUCGAACGAAGUAGCAAUACUUAGUGGCAGACGGGUGAGUAACAUGUAGGUAUCUACCCCAUGGCCUGGAAUAACACGAGGAAACUUGUGCUAAUACCGGAUAAGUCUUUACGGAGAAAGCUUUAUGCACCAUUGGAUGAGCCUGCACUUGAUUAGUUUGUUGGUAGGGUAAUGGCCUACCAAGACUGUGAUCAAUAGCUGAUUUGAGAGGAUGAUCAGCCACAUUGGGACUGAGACACGGCCCAAACUCCUACGGGAGGCAGCAGUGGGGAAUCUUGCACAAUGGAGGAAACUCUGAUGCAGCGAUGCCGCGUGAGUGAAGAAGGCCUUUGGGUUGUAAAGCUCUUUCGUCGGGGAAGAAAAUGACUGUACCCGAAUAAGAAGGUCCGGCUAACUUCGUGCCAGCAGCCGCGGUAAUACGAAGGGACCUAGCGUAGUUCGGAAUUACUGGGCUUAAAGAGUUCGUAGGUGGUUGAAAAAGUUGGUGGUGAAAUCCCAGAGCUUAACUCUGGAACUGCCAUCAAAACUUUUCAGCUAGAGUAUGAUAGAGGAAAGCAGAAUUUCUAGUGUAGAGGUGAAAUUCGUAGAUAUUAGAAAGAAUACCAAUUGCGAAGGCAGCUUUCUGGAUCAUUACUGACACUGAGGAACGAAAGCAUGGGUAGCGAAGAGGAUUAGAUACCCUCGUAGUCCAUGCCGUAAACGAUGUGUGUUAGACGUUGGAAAUUUAUUUUCAGUGUCGCAGUGAAAACGAUAAACACACCGCCUGGGGAGUACGACCGCA